GUAGCAGUGAAAUGCGUAGAUAUCAUGAGGAAUACCAGAGGCGAAGGCGGCUACCUGGACAAUUGCUGACGCUCAGGCACGAAAGCGUGGGGAGCAAAAGGGAUUAGAUACCCCUGUAGUCCACGCCCUAAACGGUGCACACUAGGUCUUGGCGGAUUCGACCCCACCAGGGCCCAAGCUAACGCGUUAAGUGUGCCGCCUGAGGACUACGGCCGCAAGGCUAAAACUCAAAGGAAUUGACGGGG
rnacentral:rRNA from 1 species